CCUACGGGUGGCAGUAGUGGGGAAUAUUGGACAAUGGGCGAAAGCCUGAUCCAGCCAUGCCGCGUGUGUGAAGAAGGCCUUCGGGUUGUAAAGCACUUUCAGUGGGGAAGAAAGCCUUGGGGCUAAUACCCUCGAGGAAGGACAUCACCCACAGAAGAAGCACCGGCUAACUCCGUGCCAGCAGCCGCGGUAAUACGGAGGGUGCGAGCGUUAAUCGGAAUUACUGGGCGUAAAGCGCGCGUAGGCGGUCUGAUAAGCCGGUUGUGAAAGCCCCGGGCUCAACCUGGGAACGGCAUCCGGAACUGUCAGGCUAGAGUGCAGGAGAGGAAGGUAGAAUUCCCGGUGUAGCGGUGAAAUGCGUAGAGAUCGGGAGGAAUACCAGUGGCGAAGGCGGCCUUCUGGACUGACACUGACGCUGAGGUGCGAAAGCGUGGGUAGCAAACAGGAUUAGAUACCCUAGUAGUC
rnacentral:rRNA from 1 species